rnacentral:lncRNA from 1 species
UCUCUAGGAUUGUUUGAUCUAGCAAAGGGCUCUUCUCAAUGACUUUAAUAAACCUCGAUGAACGAAUCCUAACCCAUAACCACCAAGCAGCAUGCUGGCACCCACCCUGAUCAGGCCAGGUGCUACUAGGUUGGAUGACCCAAGAUUUAUGUAGAACCAUUUGUACCUUAGUUUAAGCAUGAUCAGGUGACAUCAGCAUGGUCAGAUUGAUCAAGAUAUCGGACACUUCUACUUGACCAACCCUGCGAUAGUGUUGGAACUUAGAAUUUUUAUUUAUUAAUGGUUGGAUUUUGAUAAAAAUGUAUAAUUUUGGAUAUCAGGUUCUGAAGAAGAAUCUGGAGGUUAGUUGGAGUUGUCUACCCAUUGUUCAUGCAAAGUAAUGAUCUACCUUUCCUAGAUUUUUCUUUAUAUGAUAUUAUAUUUAGCAUCAAAUUAGUUAUCAAUCAAUUUAUAUGUGAUUUGCGAAUUUUAUGAAAUUGGGUUUUGAAUAGAAAAUUGAUACAAAAUUUUGAAGUAAUAUUUUUAGGCUAUUAUUAUAUUGUUUAAUGAUCUUAUGUCAUGUAUGCAUAUUUUGAUUGGAUUUGGACUCUCAACUUGACUAUAUUCUGGAUUGUGCCAAUUAGGGAUAAUGCACUUUACUAUUAUUGAGCUCACUGUUCUGUUUUUGAUUCGACCACAAAAUAUAAAUAUGAUAUUC